rnacentral:rRNA from 1 species
UACGGAAGGCAGCAGUGGGGAAUAUUGCACAAUGGGCGAAAGCCUGAUGCAGCUAUGCCGCGUGUAUGAAGAAGGCCUUAGGGUUGUAAAGUACUUUCAUCGGGGAGGAAAAACAAAACUAAUAAUUUUAUUUCUUGACGUUACCCGAAAAAGAAGCACCGGCUAACUCCGUGCCAGCAGCCGCGGUAAUACAGAGGGUGCUAGCGUUAAUCAGAAUUACUGGGCGUAAAGAGCACGUAGGUGGUUUUUUUAAGUCAGAUGUGAAAUCCCUGGGCUUAACCUGGAACUGCAUUUUGAAACUGAAAUACUAGAGUAUCGUAGAGGGAGGUAGAAUUCUAGGUGUAGCGGUGAAAUGCGUAGAUAUCUGGAGGAAUACCUGUGGCGAAAGCGGCCUCCUAAACGAAUACUGACACUGAGGUGCGAAAGCGUGGGGAGCAAACGAGGGAUUAGAUACCCGU